CGAAGAUGUAGCUAGCAGAACCAGGCUAUCAGUUCCAGUCUUGUCUUUCCAAAAAGGCCUGAAGCCAGGCUUACAAAGAUGCUGCGGUGGCCAUGCAUUUGAUACCUGGAACUCUUAGCUCUGCAGGAUGCCAGGACACAGUUGGAUACCUGGAACCCUUAAGUCUGCAGGAUACCAGGACACCAAAGGCUGGAACCCUUAGCCUUGCCCUGUCAGAAAAAAAAAAUCUGUGGAGACUGGUCUGUGUUAAGUAGUGCUUGCAGGGAGCAGGUCUUUGCCAAAUCGAGGAAAUGCAGCUGCCAAGUCUUGAAUGCAAACCUUAAAACCUCACAAACAUCAAGCUGCAGAAGAGUCUCCAAGUCCUAGAACUUCCCUGACAUCGAAUCAUAGAAAUUAAAACCCAACACUGUUGGCUUCUGGAAAACUGGUCACUUCAGAGUCCUGUGCUAAGGACCCUGGGAUCUUGAGCAGGCUGCACCUCCAUUUGACCCAUCGGUCUAAUAUAACACAGUCAUGAUGAGAUGGACUUCAAAGGGUGAGAACUGAACACAACUGUUUGUGAGAAGUGUUCGGCUCUGUGUCUGGAAUGUGGAAAAUUCUAGAUAAAUGUUGGCUACCAAAAUUAUUAUGGCUGUUUAAAAUCCUAAACCUUUGCAAACUGGAGCUUUUCUUCUCUUUUGUUCUUUGUGGAUUAUUUUUUUUUCUUUUUUCUUUUU
ensembl:lncRNA